rnacentral:rRNA from 1 species
UACGUAGGGUGCAAGCGUUGUCCGGAAUUAUUGGGCGUAAAGAGCUCGUAGGCGGUUUGUCGCGUCUGCUGUGAAAACCCGCAGCUCAACUGUGGGCUUGCAGCCGAUACGGGCGGGCGUGGAGUUCGGUGAGGGGAGACUGGAAUCCUGGUGUAGCGGUGAAAUGACGCAGAUAUCAGGAGGAACACCGGUGGCGAAGGCGGGUCUCUGGGCCGAUACUGACGCUGAGGAGCGAAAGCGUGGGGAGCGAACAGG